GGCUUUUAUGCCCCCCAUUCAUUUUCUCACUCAAAUACCCCUUCACCGCAUGUAACCCUUGCUCGAACACCUCCGCCGGUGGUGAAACCAAAGGGUUCCCUUCCACGCUAAGCUUCUGGAGCUUCUUCAUGCAGCCCAUUGAAUCGGGUAAGGUGGUUAUCUUGUUGUAGCUGACGUCCAGUUCCAAGAGUGAAAUGAGGAGGCCGAUGGAGUAGGGUAGGUUUUGGAGGUACUGGAAGUUUUGGCUAACGUUGAGGAUUUGUAAGUUGAUUAAGUUCUCCAAGUCCUCAGGGAGGGCUCGGAGGCAAUUGAGGCGGGCGUCGAGGACUCGUAGGGAAGUGAGGUGAGUGAUGGAUCGAGGGAGGAAUAUCAACUUGUUUGAGUUCACUGCGAGCUUCUUCAGGUUUAUGAGCUCGAAUCCAAUAGUUUCUGGCAGCUUUGUGAGCUUGUUGAAGUUGGCAUUCAGUUCUUCUAAUGACCUGCCAAAUAUGCAACCGACUUAACUUUUUUUCUUUUUGCAGCUUAACAAUUAGUUCCAUAUUGCAGCACUGUUGACAUUAUAGGUGAAAUGUUCAGGGUCAUGCAUAUGUAUAUUAUUUUCAUUCAAAAUUUAUAUCGCGUAAUUAGUUAUGUACUAUGAUUUAAAUGAAAGUGAUUCAUUCAUAUUAGUCAUUUUAAUAUCCUGUCAAUACUAGUAGAAUAUAUAUAUAUAAAUAAGGUAAAAAAAUAAACCUGCAAUUUUCAAUGGUUUUAGGGAGAGACUGGAGAAGGUUGCCGGAGACGUUGAGUGUCUUGAGCUUAGAGAGACAGCCGAUGGAGUUUGGGAGAAACUUGAGCUGAUUUGAGUGCACAUCCAACGCCACCACAUUCAGUAACCUUGCCGUCAACGAUUCUGGUAUGCUCUGUAAUUACAUCAUGUCAAUAUUUUUAAUUUUAAAAAGCAAUCAUUCAUGGGUAAAAGUAUCUUAUUCUACUCUUAUUCAAAUUACAUUUUACCCUAUUAUAAAUAAAAUAGAUAAAUUGAUUUUUCUUGAAUUUUUUAUUAAAAUUUUUUUAUAUUUUUAUAAUUAAAAAUUAAUGUGACGAAUAAAAUAAUUAAAUAAUUGCAUAUGAUAUUUAAACAUACUAAGAUCAAUUUUUAACAAUGAAAAUAGAUUAAAUUUUUAACAUAAGGAUUAAUUUAUUAUUUAAUUUAAUAUAUAAGAAUUAAUUUAUCUAUUUUUUAAAUAAAAUUUAACUCUUAAUAUAAAAAUUUUCUACUAUAUUUUUACCAUAAUUUAUUUUAUAUAUUUAAAUCAAAAUAAAAAGCCGUACUCCGAUACUUCACAAUUUCGUACUCCGAUUCUUCACAAGUGUGACCCAGACUUCAUUUCUCAUAAAAAAUUAUAAAAUGGCUAUGACAACGUCAGAUUUACAUCCUUAUCACUUCAUGAAAUUGUUGACUUUUAGCAUAUGAUCGGUGCAAAAUAUAUUUUUAAUAUUAUAAUUAUUUAAAAUGUAUGCGGCUGAUUUUAUUAAUAUUUAUUAUUUUUUAAAAUAUAAGUCAAUAUUUUAAAAAUAAAAACUAUUUAAAUAUAUUUUAUCCCAUGUUGAUGUUGUUCAAGAAUAGUUUUUCUCUUAACACCAAUCAUAACAUCUUCUUGAAAUAGGUAUUAAUGUAUGUACAUAAAUAAUAUCAUUAUGAUUUUUUUAUCAUUAAAUAAAUUAAUGUAAAAUUUUAGGUCAAUUUUUUAUGCCUCAAGUUCGAUUCGAUCUAAAAAUUAAAUUUAAAAUUUUAUCUAAAUUCGGUCCAAAUAAAAAAAUUAAACCAGAGCCCGAUGUAGUCCAACCAUCCAUAAUAAUAUUUUUAAAAUUAUUUUUAUAUAAAAAUAAAUUUAAAAAAUAUAAUAUAUUAAAUAUACCAAAUACAUUAAAAUAAAAUUCUCUUAGCAAAAUGAAAAUAUAUUUAAAAAGCAUACAUGUGAUUCAGGCCUAAUCUAGGCAAAAAAAAAAUUCAACAUGACCUAAUCCAUUUUAGUAAACCCUUCUAUUUUUUAAGCGAGCCUUUGGAACCUGAUAGAUAAUCCUGUUGAUGAUAAAAUCUACUUAUAUAUAGUAAUAAUAAUAAAUAAGGCGGCUAACUGUUAGCGGUCGAAGAUACCGUCUUUAAAAAUUUCGUUGAUUAAAGUAGUUUAACACCAUCGAGAUAAAAUUAUAAAACUUUAUGUUUUAGAAAAAUUAAAUUGAAUUAUUAGUUUUUUUAGAAAAUACUUAAAUACAAAUUAUUCAUUUAAUCAUGACCAAGAGGCUAUAACCAUAACCUAUCCUAAUUACGCUCCUUCUAAAUAGUGAUGAAAACACGACGGAACAGUUUUAGGUCAAAAAUUUAAAUUUUAUAUUAAAAACAUAAAUUGAAUUAUUAAUUUUUGAUUAAAAUAUAAAUUAUUUGUUAAAAGGAAAUUUUCUCCUUUUGCUAAGGGGCUAAAGCCAUUAUCUUCAUCCUAAUACUUGAAUCCAAUAUCAAAAUUGAAAAAAAUCUCCAAAUCCCACUUGACAAGUCACGAAAUAUUAUAUUAAUUUUACAAGAUUAAAUAUAAAAAUAAUUAAAAUGUUAUAAAAGUUAAAACAAAUUCUAACAAAAAUAUGAAAAAUUACUCAUAAAAUUUUUACCAAAAAGUUAUAAAAUUUAAAGGAAAAUAUUUGUUUUUAUAAAUUUUUGGAGUGAGAUGGUGCGAGUUUCAUCCAUAUCAUACUCUCAAACUCAAAUUUAAAAAAAAAAAUCGUUAAAUUGAGUUAAAAACUUGUUAAAUGUAGAUUAUUUUGUCAUUCUAAAAAAGUAAGACAAGUCUACUAAAUAUUUAUUGAUACAUAUGAUCAUAAGUAAAAUAAGGUGUGUCUAGUCUCCUCCCCAAAAAGAGUCCUUAAAAUCGUAUAAAAGUGGGUCAGAUUUCGGGUUGAAUGUCAAGUCUAAUCAUUAUUUAAUUAUAACUGUAUAACAAUACUACUAGGAAGCUACAGGAUUAACUCCAAAACAUACAUGCAUAUAGGGAGAGAGAAAGAUGAGAUGUAUACCUGAAGAUUAUUAUUGGAGAGGUUUAAUUUACAAAUGGUAGUCAAAUUUAGGGAAGGUUUGGGAAGAGAAUCCAAAGACAUCCCACUCAAAUCCACUAUAUUCAACCUCUCUUCAUCUUCUAUAAACCUUCUCCCACUUCUCUCAUCUCCCUUCUGAUUGUUGUUGUUCAAUUCCGCCAUUCUCAUCAUCACUUGCUGCUGCUGCUGCUGCUGCUGCUCUUCGUACAUCAUUUCCUAACAACUUUAUUAUCUAAACACCACCACAAGACUGUAAGCUGAGAGAAAAAAGGAGCAUGAAAAAUCUGAGACAAAAGAACAUAGGAAAUGGUUGGGUUUGGGGUUCUAAAAAAGGACGUACGGAGGAGCAAAAACAGUGAGAAGGAAUAGGACAAGGAGAAAGAGAUGACGGUUGUCCACAUCUCCCACGUGGAGAAAGUCAACCCCUCUCCCUUUGUUUCUCCUUGGCUGCCCUCUCAUGUCGCUCUCCUUUUUAUUUUUAUCAUUAUUCACACUCUUUAGACUAAAUCCAAUUGGGAAUUUCUUUUUAUUUUAUUUAUAGGAAAUUACGUACCAACCCAUUAUAGAAGUGGGGAUACAGAUCAUAGGCUUAUCACUAAAAUAUUCCCCCACAACCAUUUUCUUUAUAUCUAAGAUACACGGGGUUGGAUGCUUAGCAUCUUUACUAUUACUAUUGGAUUUCUACCUUUAUUAUUCAUAAAUCCAAAUUUUCAAUGUUUUUCAACCAGCCAACAGUAUCACGUAUCAUUUAAUCCAAUGUUUUUCGUUUCAUCAUUAUCUUUAAUCCAUAUAAACAUAGUUAUCCAUUAACUCUUAAUUUAAUUCAUAUCAAUUUUGUUAUCAAUAUAAAAAUAUAUAGAUUUAAAUAUAUUGAAAUAGAUUAUUCUUGACCUUCUUUUUCUUCUUUUUUUUCCAAAUACCAAGUUUUUAUAGGAAAUUACGUACCAACCCAUUAUAGAAGUGGGGAUACAGAUCAUAGGCUUAUCACUAAAAUAUUCCCCCACAACCAUUUUCUUUAUAUCUAAGAUACACGGGGUUGGAUGCUUAGCAUCUUUACUAUUACUAUUGGAUUUCUACCUUUAUUUUAUUCAUAAAUCCAAAUUUCAAUGUUUUUCAACCAGCCAACAGUAUCACGUAUCAUUUAAUCCAAUGUUUUUCGUUUCAUCAUUAUCUUUUAAUCCAUAUAAACAUAGUUAUCCAUUAACUCUUAAUUUAAUUCAUAUCAAUUUUGUUAUCAAUAUAAAAAUAUAUAGAUUUAAAUAUAUUGAAAUAGAUUAUUCUCUUGACCUUCUUUUUCUUCUUUUUUUUUCCAAAUACCAAGUUUAGACUUUUCUCCUUACUUUUUCUUUUCUCAAUUCCUUUCGUUUAUUAGUAGUUUAUAAUGUUAAUAGUAAUCAUAUUUUAUUAUGUAAAUUUUUUAAUAAAUUAUAAUUACUAUUUAAAUAAUUAUGUUAUAAAGAUAAAUUUCUGUAUAUAAAAUUGUCUCAUAAAAUAAAAUAAUCCUAUAAAAAAUAUCUUAUGGAAAUUUGUUUUUCUUAGUUUUUUUUCUUUUUUUGUUAGCUUAAUGAUUUUAUGGUCUUGGUCUUGAUGUAAUGCAAAUUAUGAACUCAUAUGUAUCUGGUUUUAUUUUUUUCUAUUGUCUACUGCCAAAUGAAAUUUGUUUCAUCUUACAAAAAAAGUUAUCUUUGAAUCUAGUAGUAGUUAUUGUUGUUGUUUUUAUUGAAAUUUUUUGCUCUUAGUAUAGUUAUUUCGUUAUUGAUGUUUUUCGAACAAAUUAGUUAAUAAAAUUUUAUAGUUAAUUUUUUUUUAUAAUUAUCUUUAUUGGAUUUUUUGAAUGAAAGGAAAAUGAACAAAGUAAAUAUUGACUCACUGAUUACUUAAGGUUUAAUUAAUAAAAGACAACUUAUAAGAAAUUAGCAAUUGAUUCAAGAGACUAUUAUGUUGUCUAUCAAGUCUAAUUUAGAAGAUAUUUUAUAUUGGGUAUCAGAACGGAUAACUCUCGAAAAGAUAGAGACAUAUGCGUGAUUGCUUGGACUAAUAAUACAUUGGAUAAAACCUGAGUUGAAUCUAUCUUACAUUCGUUUAUUGAUUUAUUCACUUGUGACAUUUAUAGUGUGACUUACCUCAAUCCUGAAAAAGUGAUUGACUAUAUGUAUACGACUCGCACACUUUAAUAUAUUAAAGGCCUGGGUUCAAUUGGUAUUAAAGUCGAAAGCUAAUAUAUUGAGUAUAUGACUUAUGGAUGGCAUGACUUCAUUUACAAUAGUAAAAUUCAUAGGUCGUUCAAAGAGUAAAUGAUAUAAUCUCACCGACAUUGCAUGGAUUAUGAAAAAGGAACGUGACCACAAGUUAUUUGUCUAGGACAAAUAAUUGUUAUUACUAUUUGUUAGUAACAAUCAUUUUCGUCAUAGAAGAUGUAAUGGUAACCAUAAGAUAAAAUAAGAUCAUAUUGGGCGAACGAAUUUUAAUCCAAAGAGAUAAGGAUAUCUUAUAAGGUAAUACACUAAUGACAAAGACAUUGAAGAAAGCAUAAAUCUAAAUUAUUUUCAUAAUUGUAUAUAAUGAGGAGUUCAAUCAUAGUAGUUUUAGUGGAUAGCUAAUUUAUUAACUAUUCCAAUUAAAACAUCAAGCAAAAUAUUUUCUUAAAAAUCCCUUCUAACACAAAAGCUUCUAUAUCAAUAUGACGAGUUAGAAUGUUGUUUUCAGAAGAAAAAAAAAAUCUAUACUGGCAUUUUAAAUGGAAUGGUUAAAAUAAUGUCAAGCUAAAAUGUAGUGGUUAAAUAUAAAAUUUGAACAUAGUAUAAGGACCAAAACCAAAAUUUGACCUAUUCUUCUAAUCCGGAAGUUGAAACUUAUAUCCUUUUCAAAAUUAUUUCUUGAAGACUAGAGUGGCAUAGAUAAGCUCAUUCCAGGCAUCAGGAACCCCUGGAAGACACCAGUGGCUGCAAUCUUCCCGCCUCAUAGAAUUCGUUUUCCCUUCUUUCAAUGCCUUCCCAUAGAUCCCUGGAUGGCCAUCUUUGCGAGAAUUGG
rnacentral:lncRNA from 1 species